CACUACCUAUCCCAAGCCAGAAACAAAAUACCUAUUAUCACAACCCUUACCCUAGUUACCCUGCUAUCAAUAGGAGGACUCCCGCCACGAUCAGGGUUCAUACCCAAAUCAAUAAUCAUCCAAGAAAUGACAAAAAAAACCA